GGACCUUGCCUUUAAGCAGGAUAAAAUCUCGACUACGUUGCAUUACGAAGACAUAGGGUUCUUCAGCGUGUACGUUUUCACUUCACUAAUGAUGGGAUACGGAACGUACAGGAUCAAUGCCUACUACCGACGUCUCUACAUCGAGGAGGGGAAAAUUACAACGAUUCUAACAACAGAGACGAAGUCGCUUAAAUAAACAUUUAUUUC